UACGUAGGGGGCAAGCGUUGUCCGGAAUUAUUGGGCGUAAAGAGCGCGUAGGCGGUCCGAUAAGUCGGCUGUGAAAGUCAGGGGCUCAACCCUUGAAAGCCGGCCGAUACUGUCGGACUAGAGUCCGGAAGAGGCAAGUGGAAUUCCCGGUGUAGCGGUGAAAUGCGCAGAUAUCGGGAGGAACACCAAUGGCGAAGGCAGCUUGCUGGGACGGUACUGACGCUGAGGCGCGAAAAGCGUGGGGAGCGAACAGG
rnacentral:rRNA from 1 species